CGAGCGAGCUUGCCUAGAUGAUUUUAGUGCUUGCACUAAAUGAAACUAGAUACAAGCGAGCGGCGGACGGGUGAGUAACACGUGGGUAACCUGCCCAAGAGACUGGGAUAACACCUGGAAACAGAUGCUAAUACCGGAUAACAACACUAGACGCAUGUCUAGAGUUUGAAAGAUGGUUCUGCUAUCACUCUUGGAUGGACCUGCGGUGCAUUAGCUAGUUGGUAAGGUAACGGCUUACCAAGGCAAUGAUGCAUAGCCGAGUUGAGAGACUGAUCGGCCACAUUGGGACUGAGACACGGCCCAAACUCCUACGGGAGGCAGCAGUAGGGAAUCUUCCACAAUGGACGAAAGUCUGAUGGAGCAACGCCGCGUGAGUGAAGAAGGGUUUCGGCUCGUAAAGCUCUGUUGGUAGUGAAGAAAGAUAGAGGUAGUAACUGGCCUUUAUUUGACGGUAAUUACUUAGAAAGUCACGGCUAACUACGUGCCAGCAGCCGCGGUAAUACGUAGGUGGCAAGCGUUGUCCGGAUUUAUUGGGCGUAAAGCGAGUGCAGGCGGUUCAAUAAGUCUGAUGUGAAAGCCUUCGGCUCAACCGGAGAAUUGCAUCAAAAACUGUUGAACUUGAGUGCAGAAGAGGAGAGUGGAACUCCAUGUGUAGCGGUGGAAUGCGUAGAUAUAUGGAAGAACACCAGUGGCGAAGGCGGCUCUCUGGUCUGCAACUGACGCUGAGGCUCGAAAGCAUGGGUAGCGAACAGGAUUAGAUACCCUGGUAGUCCAUGCCGUAAACGAUGAGUGCUAAGUGUUGGGAGGUUUCCGCCUCUCAGUGCUGCAGCUAACGCAUUAAG
rnacentral:rRNA from 1 species